GGGCGGUUAGCUCAGGGGGAGAGCACUUCCCUGACACGGAAGGGGUCACAAGUUCAAAUCUUGUACCGCCCACCA
rnacentral:tRNA from 2 species